AUAUUUUGCCAGUCUCGAAUGUCGACUGUCUAUCUCACAUCCUCUCCGGCUUCCGCCUCUCGGCUCUCACUGUCUGUCUCGCCGUUUCACCUUUCGCAGCUCCGCGCCUCGGCCGACGGCCUCUCUCCCUAGUCCCUGCGACUCGGCGACUCUGUUCUUCAACUUUGACUGCUCGACCUCUCUUCUGAGUUCCGACUCCAGGUAAAUUUUCAUUCACUAUCAAGAUUCGAGUGCAUGACUGCAUGUUGUUUUGAUUAGUAGUUUAGACUAUGUUAUUCUUUGUACUCUUUUUUCUCUCUCUUAAAAACUGACUCAUAACUCAUAAGUCAUAGGGAUAGUGUAAGGAGAGAGGGAGAUCAGAGGGAGAGGGAGAGGGAGAGGGAGAGGGAGACAGAAUUAGAAAUUUGGUAUUGAAGUUUCACAGCUUUCAGGUGUGUUUAAGUUUAAUUUUCUACAUAUAUCUUCCAAUUUUCUUAACAACCAAAUGGUUUUUUUUUUCUAACUCUCUGUUUCAGUGUUUUGGGGAUUAAGUUUAUGGCAUUGGUUUAUGUUUGGUUGAGGAGAUAGUGUUGAAGAAAAGAAUUUGAAAUUAUUGGGCUUGAUGCUUGCAGAUUUAACAAUACAUUGCAUUUGAUUUUACUGAUAGAUUUUAUAUUAAAAAUUUUGGGGGACUUUUGGAUUUGUAUUCUUUAACUAUCAUCAUAAUUAUCAAGUGUAGUUUUAUAACUAAUGAAAUAUAUAAUUUCAAUUAUAAUGUUAAUAUUAAGUUUGUGGAAUGUUAACAAAAUUGUAUCUUUCUACUUCAUAAUUUCUCGUAGCUUUAGUUUAUUUGUUGCUUAAGAACUUGGAAAUUUGUAAUUUUUGAUUCAACAUGACUACACAAUUUAGUCGAGUUUAUUUGAUUUCCAGCAGUUCAGUUUAUUCAAUUUACUGUUGGAAUUUUGUGCUUUAUUUAUUUAUUUAUAUAUAUAUAGUUUCCUUCUCUCCAUAUUGUUUGCACUCUGCACCUUUCAAUAUGUUAGCUAACUAGCAUGUUAGCUGAUGCAAGCCUAAGUAUAUUUUUUUAAUGUGACGUUGUUCUUCUAUGGUGAAUUUUAAACAGUUUGAGCUGCAGAUUUUUUAAAGGUGUGAGCUGGUAUAUUAGGACCGACUGUUUAUUUGAUAUUGUUAUUGUGUUGGGAUGUGAUUUGCUCUCCCUUUCCUUUCCUUUCCUUUCUUUUUCCUUUUGGCUUUAAAUUACUUGAAUUUUGAAAAUUUUGGACAAGUAAAAUAUUCAAUUCUUAUGGAACAAAAAUUUGCUUGGUCAAAAUGAGAAAUGGAUUCUAGCAUAAUGAACGCUAUGGAAAAGCUAACAUGGCUAAUAUAAGAAUUUAAUCAGGAAGGUUCCUUCGUUGUCUACAUGACCAGCAGAAUUACAAAAUAGGUCUAAAAUAUGACUUGAUUUUCUAACUGUUGAUCAUAGCUAGGACUUUCACUACUGCCAGGAGGCCAAUGGUUGCAAGAAACUCUCACAAUUACCCCUAUGUAUCUAAUAAUAUUUAUCAUUAGGCUCACUAACCCAAUGCUAAUGAUGACCUCUUGCUUGUCUUGUAAUGGAGAUGAUAUAUUCCAUCCCAGAGUAAUAUUUGAAUUAGUGAUGAUCUGCUUUGUAAAAUCUAUUGAAGAAAAGAAAUGUUGAGUUGUUGUCUUACUAUCCUAAUCUUACAUAUAAUCUCCUUUUUGUGUCCAACUCAGAUUUGUGGUUUUAAAGAAACAGAUAAUGGGUGACAAUUUGCUGCUGUAUGGACCAAGUUUAUGAUUAGUACACCAUUAGUCACUGUUGGUGAAAAGUUCAGUUCCACAUCUUAAAUUGGUAUGAGUUAUUGUGACAAGAGAUGUCUGCCUUUCUUGUCCUUUAAAUGAAAGUGAGUAGAGAUGAAAAGAAAUUCACUAUCAUGAUCAUGUAACAUAGAGAGUAAUACAACUUUUUGAAAAAAGAAAAGAAAGUUACACUGUAUAUAUGUGCUCAAUAACCACAUCCUGUGACCAUUAUAUAUAGUGAAGCAUUGGUGCUGCUCUGCCAUCUUUAUUUCUUGCUAGAUUUUAUCACAUCAUGAGAAAACUCAUUUAUGCUAUUGUUGAUUCUCAUUUUUGUUCCUAUUAAAUUUUCUCUGAUAAGACCAGUUAUUCAAAACUGUUCCUAUUGACUAUGGUGUGUACAGCGUUUGCGUUGUCAUUAUCUAUCUGUUACAAUAUUUGAUUAUGAUCUUAAAAAAUCAUGUGUAUCAGUGUCUUUAAGCAGUAUUCACAUAGAAGAUCUAGUAAAUCAUUCUAUUACUUGUUUUUGUUGUUGUCUUACCAUGUAGAAGUAAGCCUCAGUUGUGCAUAAAUUUUCUCUCAUAUAGCUUGGCUGAAUUUUGAAAUUAUAUAUUGCAUUUAUUCAUUUACAACAAGGAAUUACAAACAAUCACCAGAUCACACUCAACAGUAUCAACUUGUGCUAGUCAAUCAGUAAAGUAAGCGAUUUACGGAUACAUGUUGCUGUUGACUCAAUGGAUAAAUGCUUGUUCAUGUUGUUGUUGUCUGUUGCACAACUGCUGGGUGCUAGCUGCUACCUGGUAGUAGAAUAAGUUCAUGUAGGGUGCUACCUGCUUUGUUAAGUCAUAAACUUUGUUAAGGUCUUAAGGACAGUUAAUUUGUUGGCUUGUUGCUGCUGUAUUUUUAAAUUUUAUGCUGGAUGUUGGAUGUUGGAUGUUGUUGUUAAGUUACUUUGCUGCUGGACAGUUAAUUUGUUGGACAUUUAACAAUUAAUUUGCUGCUGUAUUUGUUGGCUUGUUGCUGCUGUGUCAUAAACUUUAUGUUGGAUGUUGCUAGUUGUUUGUUGCAUGUCGGAUGUUGGAUGUUGGAUGUUGGAUGUUGGAUGUUGCUGUUAAGUUACUUUGUAAUUUGUUGUUGUAUUCUUAAUUUUAAAAAGAGCACAUGUUCGGUUAUUACCCGAAUACCCGAAUG
rnacentral:lncRNA from 1 species